rnacentral:lncRNA from 1 species
CUUCAACAACUAGUUCUUUAGGUGUCUUUUCAACCGUUGCUUCUUCAGGUUUCUCUUCAAGUGCUAGUUCUUCAGCUGUUUCCUCCCCCUCUAACUCUUCAGGUGUUUUUUUAGCUGUUCGUUCUUCAGAUUUCUCUUCAGCCGCAGGUUCUUGAGGUUUCUCUUCAAAUGGUAAUUCAAAUUUCUCCUCAACCGAUGGUUCUUCAAAUUUCUCUUGAAUAACUGGUUCUUCAGGUUUUUCUUCAACUGCUGAUUCUUCAAGAUUUUCUUCAACAUUUAAAGAUUGAGCAACAUCAUUACUGGUAUUGCAUGGAAUUUCACUGCCAUUUUUGCUGUUCAAGUCUACAACUAGCAUAUUCUGCAAAAGAGUUUAAUGUUUCACUUAGUCUUUCAAUAAAGAAGCAGACGUGAAUCAUUUCACAUACAUAACUAAUAAUAUGGAUAGCUAAUAAUAUGGAUUAACUUUUAUGACAGAUUUUCCACAAGAGCUACCUUUUCAGGUUUCUCCUCUUCAAGUGAUGGUUUCUCUUCAAAUGAUAGUUCAUUAGGCGUUUCUUCCUGUGUUGGUUUUUCAUGUGCUUCUUCAGUUACUGGUUUUUCAGGUUUCUCCUUAGUUGUUGGUUCUUCGCUUGUCUCCUCAGCUGAUUGUUCUUCAAGCUUCUCUCCUGUUGUUGAUUUUUCUGGUUUCUCUUCAAUUAUCGGUGGUUCAGGUUUUUUCUCAACCGGUGAUUCUUCUGGUUUCUCCAAAACCAUUGAUUCUUCAUGUUUUUUUUCAACUACUGACUCUUCAGUGUUUUCCUCAACUGAUGCAUAGUCAGCAAUAUCGUUGUUGGUAUUGCUUGGAAUUGCAUUGUCUAUCUUGUCCUUUGAGUUUACUUUUGGCAUAUUCUGCAAUGAAGUUUCACGUAGUCUUUCAAUAGAUAAACAAAUGUAAAUUUGUUGCACAUAUAAAAGCUAAUAUGAUGGAUAAAAUUUGUGCCAGUGUUUAAUCCUCACCUUCUCCUGAAGAGCUUCCGCUUCAAGUUCCUCCUCUUCAAUUGCAGGUUUUUCAUCUUUCUCUCCAACAACUAGUUCUUCAGGUUUCUCUUCAAGUGCCAGUUCUUCAGGUGUUUCCUCCUUUGCCAGCUCUUCAGGUGUUUCCUCCUUUGCCAGCUCUUCAGGUGUUUCUUUAGCUGCCGGUUCUUCAGGUUUCUCUUCAACCUCCGGUUCUUGUGGUAUUUCCUCUACUUGUACUUCAGAUUUCUCCUCAAUUGUUGGUUCUUCAGGUUUCUCUCUAACCGCUGCUGCAUUAGGUUUCUCUUCAUUGGCUGGUUCUUCAGGUUUUUCUUCAACUACCGAUUCUUCAGGAUUUUCCUCAAUGUUUGGAAAGGGAGCGACAUCAUUAUUGGUAUUGCAUGGAAUUUCACUGCCAGUUUUGUCAUUCAAGUCCACAACUAGUAUAUUCUGCAAAAGAGUUUAAUGUUUCACUUAGUCUUUCAAUAAAGAAGCAGAUGCGAAUCAUUACAUAUACAUAACUAAUAACAUGGAUAAACUUUAUGACAGUAGUUGACCCUUACCUUUUCCACAAGAGUUACUUUUGCAGGUUUCUCCUCUUCAAGUGCUGGUUUCUCUUCAAAUGAUAGUUCAUUAGGUGUUUCUUCCCGUGUUGGUUCUUCAUGUGCUUCUUCAGUUACUGGUUUUUCAGGUUUCUCCUCAAUUGUUGGUUCUUCGCUUGUCUUCUCAACUGAUGGUUCCUCAUGCUUCUCUCCCGUUGUUGAUUUUUCGGGUUUCUCUUCAGUUGUCGAUGGUUCAGUUUUUUUCUCAACCGCUGGUUCUUUUGGCUUCUCCAAAACCAUUUCCGAUUUCUCUUCAGUUGGUGGUUCUUCAUGGUUUUUUUCAACUACUGGUUCUUCUCUUUUUUCCUCAACUGAUGCAUAGUCAGCAAUAUCGUUGUUGGUAUUGCUUGGAAUUGCAUUGUCUGUCUUGUCCUUUGAGCUUACAAUUGGCAUAUUCUGCUAGAAAAAUAUAAAGUUUCAUGUAGUCUUUCAACAGAGAAACCAAUGUAAAUUUGUUGCACAUAUAAAGCUAACAAAUAUGAUGGAUAGACUUUGCGAGAGUGUUUAAUACUCACCUUCUCCGGAAGAGCUUCCGUUUCAGGUUCCUCUUCAAUUUCUGCUUUUUCAUCUUUCUCUUCAACAACUAGUUCUUCAGGUGUCUCUUCAACCGUUGAUUCUUCAGGUUUCUCUUCAAGUGUUAGUUCUUGAGGUGUUUCCUCCUUUGCUAGCUCUUCAGGUGUUUCUGUAACUGCCGGUUCUUCAGGUUCCUCUUCAGCCACCGGCUGUUGACGUAUCUCCUCUACUUGUACUUCAGAUUUCUCCUCAAUUGUUGGUUCUUCAGGUUUCUCCUUAACCGCUGGUACAUCAGGUUUAUCCUCAUUGACUGGUUCUUCAACUGCUGAUUCUUCUAGAUUUUCCUCAAUGUCUGGAAAGCGAGCAACAUCAUUAUUGGUAUUGCAUGGAAUUUCAUUUCCAGUUUCGUUAUUCGAGUCUACAAUUAGCAUAUUCUGCAAAAAGAAUUUAAUGUUUCAUUUAGCCUUUCAAUAAAGAAGCAUAUGCGAAUAACAGUACAUGCAUAACUAACAAAAUGGAUAAACUUUGUGAUAGUGCUUGAUCCUUACCUUUGCCAAAAGAGUUACCUUUUCAGGUUUCUCCUCUUCAACGGUUGGUUCUUCAUGUUUCUUUUCAAAUGCUAGUUCCUUGGUUGUUUCUUCCGGUGUUGGUUCCAUAGGUGUUUCUUCAGUUACUUGUUUUUCGGGUUUCUCUUCAAUUAUUGGUUCUUCGAUUGUCUUCUCAACUGAUGGUUCUUCAAGAUUUUCUCCCACUGUUGGUUUUUGGGGUUUCUCUUCUAUUGUUGGUUGUUCAGGAAUUUUCUCAACUGGUGGUUCUGCUGGAUAUUCCAAAACCAUUGAUUCUUCAGAUUUCUCUUCAAUUGAUGGUUCUUCAUGGGUUUUUUCAACUACUGGUUCUUCAAUUUUUUCCUCAACAGAUGCAUAGUCAACAAUAUCAUUAUUGGUAUUGCUUGGAAUUGCAUCGUCUGUCAUGUCCUUUGAGUUUACUUUUGGCAUAUUCUGCAAUAGAGUUUCAUGUAAUCUUUCAACAGAUAAACAGAUGUAAAUUUGUUGCACAUAUAAAGCUAAUAUGGUGGAUAAACUUUGUGACAGUGUUUAAUCCUCACCUUCUCCUGAAGAUCUUCCGCUUCAAGUUCCUCCUCUACAAUUGCAGUUUUUUCCUCUUCCCCUUCAACAACUAGUUCUUCAGGUGCCUCUUCAGCCGUUGAUUCUUCAGGUUUCUCUUCAAGUGCUAGUUCUUCAGGUGUUUCCUCCUUUGCCAGCUCUUCAGGUGUUUCUUUAGAUGCCGAUUCUUCAGGUUUCUCUUCAGCCAUCGGUUCUUGAGGUAUUUCCUCUACUUGUACUUCAUAUUUCUCCUCAAUUGUUUGUUCUUCAGGUUUCUCUUCAGGUUUCUCCUUAACCACUGGUACAUCAGGUUUCUCUUGAUUAACUGGUUCUUUGGGUUUUUCUUCAACAGCCGAAUCUUCAGGAUUUUCCUCAAUGUCUUGAAAGCAAGCAAUAUCUUUAGUGGUAUUGCAUGGAAUUUCACUGCCAGUUUUGUUGUUCGAGUCUACAAUUAGCAUAUUCUGCAAAAGGAAUUUGAUGUUUCAUUUAGCCUUUUAAUAAAGAAGCAGAUGUGAAUAACAUUACAUGCAUAACUUACAAAAUGGAUAAAUUUUGUGACAGUCCUUGACCCUUACCUUUUCAGGUUUCUCCUCUUCAACAGCUGAUUCUUCAUGUUUCUCUUCAAAUGCUAGUUCUCUGGGUGUUUCUUCCCGUAGUGCUUCUUCAUGUGCUUCUUCAGUUACUGGUUUUUCAGGUUUCUCCUCAAUUGUUGGUUCUUUGAUUGUCUCCUCAACAGAUGGUUCUUCAAGCUUCUCUCCCGUUGUUGAUUUUUCUGGUUUCUCUUCAAUUGCUGGUUGUUCAGGAAUUUUCUCAACAGCUGGUUCUUCUGGCUUCUCUAAAACCAUUGAUUCUUCAGCUUUCUCUUCAAUUGAUGGUUCUUCAUGGUUUUUUUCAACUAUUGGUUCUUCAGUUUUUUCCUCAACGGAUGCAUAGUCAACAAUAUCAUUGUUGGUAUUGCUUGGAAUUGCAUCGUCUGUCAUGUCCUUUGAGUUUACUUUUGGCAUAUUCUACAAUAAAGUUUCAUGUAGUCUUUCAAUAGAUAAACAGAUGUAAAUUUGUUGCAACAUAUAAAGCUAAUAUGGUGGAUAAACUUUGUGACAGUGUUUAAUCCUCACCUUCUCCCGAAGAUCUUCCGCUUUAAGUUCCUCCUCUUCAAUUGCUGUUUUUUCAUCUUUCGUUUCAACAACUAGUUCUUCAGGUGCCUCUUCAGCCGUUGAUUCUUCAGGUUUUUCUUCAAGUGCCAGCUCUUCAGGUGUUUCCUCCUUUGCCAUCUCUUCAGGUGUUUCCUCCUUUGCCAGCUCUUCAGGUGUUUCUUUAGCUGCUGGUUCUUCAGGUUUCUCUUCAGCCGCCAGUUCUUGAGGUAUCUCCUUUUCUACUUCAGAUUUCUCCUCAACUGUUGGUUCUUCAGGUUUCUCUUCAUUAACUGGUUCUUUGGGUUUUUCUUCAACAGCCGAAUCUUCAGGAUUUUCCUCAAUGUCUGGAAAGUGAGCAACAUCUUUAUUGGUAUUGCAUGCAAUUUCACUGUCAGUUUUGUCGUUCAAGUCUACAAUUAGCAUAUUCUGCAAAAAGAAUUUGAUGUUUCAUUUAGCCUAUUAAUAAAGAAGCAGAUGUGAAUAACAUUACAUGCAUAACUUACAAAAUGGAUAAACUUUGUGAUGGUCCUUGACCCUUACCUUUCCAGGCUUCUCCUCUUCAACGGCCAGUUCUUGUUUCUCUUCAAAUGCUAGUUCCCUGGGUGUUUCUUCCUGUAUUGGUUCUUCAUGUGCUUCUUCAGGUACUGGUUUUUCAGGUUUCUCCUCAAUUGUUGGUUCUUCGAUUGUCUCCUCAACAGAUGGUUCUUCAAGGUUCUCUCCCGUUGUUGAGUCUUCUGGUUUCUCUUCAAUUGCUGGUUGUUCAGAAAUUUUCUCAACAGCUGGUUCUUCUGGCUUCUCCAAAACCAUUGAUUCUUCAGCUUUCUCUUCAAUUAAAGGUUCUUCAUGGUUUUUUUCAACUACUGUUUCUUCAGUUUUUUCCUCAACGGAUGCAUAGUCAACAACAUCAUUGUUGGUAUUGCUUGGAAUUGCAUCGUCUGUCAUGUCCUUUGAGCUUACUUUUGGCAUAUUCUGCAAUAAAGUUUCAUGUAGUCUUUCAAUAGAUAAACAGAUGUAAAUUUGUUGCACAUAUAAAGCCAAUAUGGUGGAUACACUUUGUGACAGUGUUUAAUCCUCACCUUCUCCUGAAGAUCUUCCGCUUCAAGUUCUUCCUCUUCAAUUGCUGUUUUUUCAUCUCUCUCUUCAACAACUUGUUCUUCAGGUGCCUCUUCAGCCGUUGAUUCUUCAGGUUUCUCUUCAAGCACUAGUUCUUCAGGUGUUUCCUCCUUUGCCAGCUCUUCAGGUGUUUCUUUAGCUGCCAGUUCUUCAGGUUUCUCUUCAGCUGCCGAUUCUUGAGGUAUUUCCUUUACCUGUACUUUAGAUUUCUCCUCAAAUGUUGGUUCUUCAGGUUUCUCCUUAACCGCAGGUACAUCAGGUUUCUCUUCAGCUGCUGGUUUUUGAG